rfam:Triticum urartu cultivar G1812 contig720024, whole genome shotgun sequence.
CACAUACUCCCUCCCUCCCAAAAUUCUUGUCUUAGAUUUGUCUAAAUACGGAUGUAUCAAGUCACGUUUUAGAAUUAGAUACAUCCGUAUCUAGACAGAUUUAAGACAAGAAUUUUGGGACGGAGGGGUUAUAUU